rnacentral:rRNA from 1 species
AUUGAACGCUGGCGGCAUGCCUUACACAUGCAAGUCGAACGGCAGCACGGGAGCAAUCCUGGUGGCGAGUGGCGAACGGGUGGAGUAAUAUAUCGGAACGUGCCCAGUCGUGGGGAUAACGUAGCGAAAGCUACGCUAAUACCGCAUACGAUCUAUGGAUGAAAGCGGGGGAUCGCAAGACCUCGCGCGAUUGGAGCGGCCGAUAUCAGAUUAGGUAGUUGGUGAGGUAAAGGCUCACCAAGCCGACGAUCUGUAGCUGGUCUGAGAGGACGACCAGCCACACUGGGACUGAGACACGGACCAGACUCCUACGGGAGGCAGCAGUGAGGAAUAUUGGGACCAAAUGGGCGGCAAGCCUGAUCCAGCCAUGCCGCGUGCAGGAAGAAGCAUCUAUGGUGUGUAAACUGCUUUUGUACGGGAAGAACAACUCCUACGUGUAGGAGCUUGAC